CAGUAGCCGCGGUAAUACGAAGGGUGCAAGCGUUAAUCGGAAUUACUGGGCGUAAAGCGUGCGCAGGCGGUUUGUUAAGACAGAUGUGAAAUCCCCGGGCUCAACCUGGGAACUGCAUUUGUGACUGGCAGGCUAGAGCAUGGCAGAGGGGGGUGGAAUUCCGCGUGUAGCAGUGAAAUGCGUAGAUAUGCGGAGGAACACCGAUGGCGAAGGCAGCCCCCUGGGCCAAUACUGACGCUCAUGCACGAAAGCGUGGGGAUCAAACAGGAUUAGAUACCCGGGUAGUCCCUGUCUCUUAUAC
rnacentral:rRNA from 1 species